AUCCCCUAGAAAUUACCCAUUUCUCAUCUCGCUCCCGAAAAAUUCUCGGAAUCUCCUGUCUACUGGGAUCGGAUCUGUAAUUGCCCGUUCCUAGCUAUGGAACUCUAUUCCAUAUAAAAUUUUAAUAAUUUAUACUACUACAAAAUCAUAACGAGCCGACAUGAGUCGUGGGUUAGUUCAAUAGUUUCUGAGGCGCAAAUACGGCUAACCAACAGUCCAAUUUCUCGAGUCCGAUGAUAAAGAUUUUGGUGUUUUGUGCUUUCUUGGAGGAAAAGUGUACCGAAACGAGGAACGAAGACAAUGGUGGCCGGCGCGGCUAAUAGUGAAUUUACGGGACAUGAUCAUACAGAACAUGGCCGGCUUCUGUGCACCAGCUCUCAAGUCAGACAAAUCUCGUGCACAUGUAAAAUUAUAUAGCAACUCUGAUCAUCAAAUUGAUGGUUUCUAUCCUCCUAUUACAUGUAAGUGCUCACGCUAGUUUUCACCUUUUUUUUUUUCGAGAUUUGUUUUUCAGUGUAAUGAGUUUUUUUUGUAUUGUUACAAAUUCAGGAUUAAGGGAAUUGGUUAAAAAGAUAGGGCUUCUAACGUGUUUUUGAAAUUGAGGAUGUUUUUUGGCUUGAUGUCUGACGAAAUAGCCAAUGCAGUUCUGGAGUUCGAUGAAAAGGAUCCGUUUACUUUGUUCUAACUCGGAAAAAGAGUGUUCCAGAGAAUUCCUGAGAACGAGAUGCAAAGACAGUGGUGGUUGGUUAAUAGUGAAUUUAGGGAAGACAAUGGUGGCCGGCGCGGCUAAUAGUGAAUUUACGGGACAUGAUCAUACAGAACAUGGCCGGCUUCUGUGCACCAGCUCUCAAGUCAGACAAAUCUCGUGCACAUGUAAAAUUAUAUAGCAACUCUGAUCAUCAAAUUGAUGGUUUCUAUCCUCCUAUUACAUGUAAGUGCUCACGCUAGUUUUCACCUUUUUUUUUUUCGAGAUUUGUUUUUCAGUGUAAUGAGUUUUUUUUGUAUUGUUACAAAUUCAGGAUUAAGGGAAUUGGUUAAAAAGAUAGGGCUUCUAACGUGUUUUUGAAAUUGAGGAUGUUUUUUGGCUUGAUGUCUGACGAAAUAGCCAAUGCAGUUCUGGAGUUCGAUGAAAAGGAUCCGUUUACUUUGUUCUAACUCGGAAAAAGAGUGUUCCAGAGAAUUCCUGAGAACGAGAUGCAAAGACAGUGGUGGUUGGUUAAUAGUGAAUUUAGGGAAGAUGAUCUUGAUUUGAUAUCGAGAAUGGCAGACUUGUUUCGACCAAUAAAUGCUUCUAAUUCGGAUUACAGUUAUUGUGUGCAUAUAAAUCCUUAUUUUUCAAACUCUGAUGACCAAAUUGUUGGUUCAGAUUCGCCUGUUAUAUCAUACAUGUAAUUAGUUUGUUUUUUGUAAAAAAUCUUGUAAGUUUUUGCUAAGGUAUAACUUUGUGUAUUUAACUGUAUGAUUACUGAUAUGUAUUCUGAGAUUUCUCUUGUUGCAGAUUCCAGAUUGAGAGACUUGGUUAAUAGGAUCAGGGGCUUUUCUGCAUUCCGAGAAUCAUUAGGCCAUCGUUACUGAAUUUGAGAAAAUCGGUCCCCAUAUAUGUUCUUCUAUCUUUCCCGUUAUUACUUCUGUGAUCCGUUCGUGGGGGUAACAUCAUAUGAAAUCAAGCAAAGGACCUGGCCUUUGAUUGAAAAACUUCUAACAAAGCCCUGUUCCCUUUCUAGACUGUUGAAUCUCCCAUUUUAACUUAAACAGAUAGCUAGAAGCUCACCUUAUGAAGAAAUUUUAUAAUCAAAUCGCCUGUUACAUGUAAGUGCUCACGC
rnacentral:lncRNA from 1 species